rnacentral:rRNA from 1 species
CUUAGUUCUGGGCGCCGCGCGCUACACUGAUCAAGUCAACGAGUUUACAACCUUGGCCGGAAGGUCUGGGUAAUCUUUUGAAACUUGAUCGUGCUGGGGAUAGUCCAUUGCAAUUAUUGGACUUCAACGAGGAAUUCCUAGUAAGCGUGAGUCAUCAGCUCGCGUUGAUUACGUCCCUGCCCUUUGUACACACCGCCCGUCGCUACUACCGAUUGAAUGGCUUAGUGAGGCUUUCGGAUUGGAUUUUGGCAGCUGGCAACAGCAGCUUGGAACUGAAAAGUUAUCCAAACUUGGUCAUUUAGAGGAAGUAAAAGUCGUAACAAGGUUUCCGUAGGGA